rnacentral:rRNA from 1 species
AGCGGAAGCCGGGAAUGGAAAGCCCGGUGCAAGCGGGGUACCAGCCACUUUGGCAAAUCCGGGUGGCAAUGGGAAGCCGUGAUGCGGAGCGAAAUAAAGUAGCGAAGUCCGUGAGCCAUGCGUCAAGAAAAGCCGCUAUUGUUUAUACCGUACCCGUACCGUAAACCGACACAGGUGGAUGAGGAGAGAAUCCUAAAGCCGGCGGAAGAAGCAUUGUCAAGGAACUCGGCAAAAUGGCCCCGUAACUUAGGGAUAAGGGGUGCCUGGGAAACCAGGCCGCAGAGAAUAGGCUCAAGCAACUGUUUAGCAAAAACACAGGUCUAUGCGAAACCGGAAGGUGAGGUAUAUGGGCUGACGCCUGCCCGGUGCUGGAAGGUUAAGAGGAGAGGUUAGCGGUAACGCGAAGCUUUGAAUUUAAGCCCCAGUAAACGGCGGCCGUAACAAUAACGGUCCUAAGGUAGCGAAAUUCCUUGUCGGGUAAGUUCCGACCCGCACGAAAGGCGUAAUGAUUUGAGCGCUGUCUCGACAAUGCAUCCGGUGAAAUUGAAGUACCAGUGAAGAUGCUGGUUACCUGCGCCAGGACGGAAAGACCCCAUGGAGCUUUACUCCAGUCUGGUACUGGGACUCGGUAUUGCAUGUACAGGAUAGGUGGGAGGCUAGGAGAUGGUAACGCCAGUUGCCAUGGAGCCGCUGUUGGGAUACCACCCUUGCAGUAUUGGGUUUCUAACCAGCCGCCGUGACCCGGCGGUGGGACAAUGCCAGACGGGGAGUUUGACUGGGGCGGUCGCCUCCGAAAGGGUAUCGGAGGCGCCCAAAGGUUCCCUCAGAAUGGACGGAAACCAUUCGAAGAGUGCAAAGGCAGAAGGGAGCUUGACUGCGACACCGACGGGUGGAGCAGGUACGAAAGUAGGGCUUAGUGAUCCGGUGGUAUUAAGUGGGAAUGCCAUCGCUCAACGGAUAAAAGCUACCCUGGGAUAACAGGCUUAUCACUCCCAAGAGUUCACAUCGACGGAGUGGUUUGGCACCUCGAUGUCGGCUCAUCGCAUCCUGGGGCUGUAGUAGGUCCCAAGGGUUGGGCUGUUCGCCCAUUAAAGCGGUACGCGAGCUGGGUUCAGAACGUCGUGAGACAGUUCGGUCCCUAUCCGGCGUGGGCGUAGGAUAUCUGAGAGGAGCUGUCCUUAGUACGAGAGGACCGGGAUGGACGGGCCGCUGGUGCAUCGGUUAGACUGCCAAGUCUACGGCCGAGUAGCCAAGCCCGGAAGGGAUAAACGCUGAAGGCAUCUAAGCGUGAAGCCCCCCUUAAGAUGAGAUAUCCCAUUCGUUAAGAAGUAAACCCCCUUGAAGACGACGAGGUAGAUAGGGCAGAGGUGGAAGUGCAGCAAUGCAUGGAGCUGACUGUUACUAAUCGGGUGAGGGCUUGACAG